rnacentral:rRNA from 1 species
UUCCGGUUGAUCCUGCCGGACCUGACUGCUAUCGGAUUGAUACUAAGCCAUGCGAGUCAUUGUAGCAAUACAAGGCAUACGGCUCAGUAACGCGUAGUCAACCUAACCUAUGGACGGGAAUAACCUCGGGAAACUGAGAAUAAUGCCCGAUAGAACACUAUACCUGGAAUGGUUUGUGUUCCAAAUGAUUUAUCGCCAUAGGAUGGGACUGCGGCCUAUCAGUUUGUUGGUGAGGUAAUGGCCCACCAAGACUAUUACAGGUACGGGCUCUGAGAGGAGUAGCCCGGAGAUGGGUACUGAGACACGGACCCAGGCCCUAUGGGGCGCAGCAGGCGAGAAAACUUUGCAAUGUGCGAAAGCACGACAAGGUUAAUCCGAGUGAUUUGUGCUAAACGAAUCUUUUGUUAGUCCUAGAAACACUAACGAAUAAGGGGUGGGCAAGUUCUGGUGUCAGCCGCCGCGGUAAAACCAGCACCUCAAGUGGUCAGGAUGAUUAUUGGGCCUAAAGCAUCCGUAGCCGGCUCUGUAAGUUUUCGGUUAAAUCUGUACGCUUAACGUACAGGCUGCCGGGAAUACUGCAGAGCUAGGGAGUGGGAGAGGUAGACGGUACUCGGUAGGAAGUGGUAAAAUGCUUUGAUCUAUCGAUGACCACCUGUGACGAAGGCGGUCUACCAGAACACGUCCGACGGUGAGGGAUGAAAGCUGGGGGAGCAAACCGGAUUAGAUACCCGGGUAGUCCCAGCUGUAAACUAUGCAAACUCAGUGAUGCAUUGGCUUGUGGCCAAUGCAGUGCUGCAGGGAAGCCGUUAAGUUUGCCGCCUGGGAAGUACGUACGCAAGUAUGAAACUUAAAGGAAUUGGCGGGGGAGCACCACAAGGGGUGAAGCCUGCGGUUCAAUUGGAUUCAACGCCGGG